rnacentral:rRNA from 1 species
GACGAACGCUGGCGGCGUGCCUAAUACAUGCAAGUCGAGCGAGCGGAACUAACAGAUUUACUUCGGUAAUGACGUUAGGAAAGCGAGCGGCGGAUGGGUGAGUAACACGUGGGGAACCUGCCCCAUAGUCUGGGAUACCACUUGGAAACAGGUGCUAAUACCGGAUAAGAAAGCAGAUCGCAUGAUCAGCUUUUAAAAGGCGGCGUAAGCUGUCGCUAUGGGAUGGCCCCGCGGUGCAUUAGCUAGUUGGUAAGGUAAAGGCUUACCAAGGCGAUGAUGCAUAGCCGAGUUGAGAGACUGAUCGGCCACAUUGGGACUGAGACACGGCCCAAACUCCUACGGGAGGCAGCAGUAGGGAAUCUUCCACAAUGGACGCAAGUCUGAUGGAGCAACGCCGCGUGAGUGAAGAAGGUUUUCGGAUCGUAAAGCUCUGUUGUUGGUGAAGAAGGAUAGAGGUAGUAACUGGCCUUUAUUUGACGGUAAUCAACCAGAAAGUCACGGCUAACUACGUGCCAGCAGCCGCGGUAAUACGUAGGUGGCAAGCGUUGUCCGGAUUUAUUGGGCGUAAAGCGAGCGCAGGCGGAAGAAUAAGUCUGAUGUGAAAGCCCUCGGCUUAACCGAGGAACUGCAUCGGAAACUGUUUUUCUUGAGUGCAGAAGAGGAGAGUGGAACUCCAUGUGUAGCGGUGGAAUGCGUAGAUAUAUGGAAGAACACCAGUGGCGAAGGCGGCUCUCUGGUCUGCAACUGACGCUGAGGCUCGAAAGCAUGGGUAGCGAACAGGAUUAGAUACCCUGGUAGUCCAUGCCGUAAACGAUGAGUGCUAAGUGUUGGGAGGUUUCCGCCUCUCAGUGCUGCAGCUAACGCAUUAAGCACUCCGCCUGGGGAGUACGACCGCAAGGUUGAAACUCAAAGGAAUUGACGGGGGCCCGCACAAGCGGUGGAGCAUGUGGUUUAAUUCGAAGCAACGCGAAGAACCUUACCAGGUCUUGACAUCUAGUGCCAUUUGUAGAGAUACAAAGUUCCCUUCGGGGACGCUAAGACAGGUGGUGCAUGGCUGUCGUCAGCUCGUGUCGUGAGAUGUUGGGUUAAGUCCCGCAACGAGCGCAACCCUUGUUAUUAGUUGCCAGCAUUAAGUUGGGCACUCUAAUGAGACUGCCGGUGACAAACCGGAGGAAGGUGGGGAUGACGUCAAGUCAUCAUGCCCCUUAUGACCUGGGCUACACACGUGCUACAAUGGGCAGUACAACGAGAAGCGAGCCUGCGAAGGCAAGCGAAUCUCUGAAAGCUGUUCUCAGUUCGGACUGCAGUCUGCAACUCGACUGCACGAAGCUGGAAUCGCUAGUAAUCGCGGAUCAGCACGCCGCGGUGAAUACGUUCCCGGGCCUUGUACACACCGCCCGUCACACCAUGGGAGUCUGCAAUGCCCAAAGCCGGUGGCCUAACCUUCGGGAAGGAGCCGUCUAAGGCAGGGCAGAUGACUGGGGUGAAGUCGUAA